CCUACGGGAGGCAGCAGUGGGGAAUCUUGGACAAUGGGGGAAACCCUGAUCCAGCGACGCCGCGUGAGUGAAGAAGUAUUUCGGUACGUAAAGCUCUAUCAGCAGGAAAGAAAAUGACGGUACCUGACUAAGAAGCCCCGGCUAACUACGUGCCAGCAGCCGCGGUAAUACGGAGGGUGCGAGCGUUAAUCGGAAUUACUGGGCGUAAAGCGGUCGUAGGCGGUAUGUCAAGGCCAGGGUGAAAUCCCCGCGCUCAACGUGGGAACUGCCUUGGAAACUGGCAAACUGGAGUGGGUGAGAGGAAAGUGGAAUUCCAGGUGUAGGAGUGAAAUGCGUAGAUAUCUGGAGGAACAUCGGUGGCGAAGGCGACGAACUGGCACAUAACUGACGCUGAGGAGCGAAAGCGUGGGUAGCAAACAGGAUUAGAUACCCCAGUAGUC
rnacentral:rRNA from 1 species